AACUAGCACUAAUUGUUUUAAAAGCAAUAUUAUCAAAGUAGUCCUAAUAUCUUAGAGGAACAAUUAAAAAGAAAAAUUAACAAUAUUCUAACCAGCAGUGGCAAGGUUUGCAUUAAUUAAUAAUUGGUGUGAGGUGACAACAGCAGCCCGUGGCAUUUAAAAAAAAGAAAGAAAAGAAUCAAUUAAGGUUUGCCUCCUUUUAUGUAACAUAUAUGUAAAUUAUUCUCAUUUUCUCGACCCAUGCUGACACAGUAUGAUAUUUGUAAAGUUUAACGGCUAUAUAAGUUACACGCACAUUUGUGAGGGAAGUGGUUCUAGCCUCCGCAGACGCAUUGCAGGGGUUUAAUUUAAAUGUCCUUCCUUAGAGUCUCAGAGCUUGAGUGAAGGCAGUCUUUCUCUCAGGCUGGGAGUUGACGUCCCUCGAAUAUUUGAGAGGGUUAAAAAAUCUGAGCGGUGUCAUAUCAGCAUUGAUGUCAACAUGUCUCAGUAUAUAUAUAUAAUUGUACAUAUCAGUUAUACUCUCAUGUAAUAUGAAUUGUAAUUUGAACAAUAGUCUCAUGUCAUAAAAAAAAAAAAAAAGUUACACGCACAUAUAGCAUUUCGGCAUUUCCGAUAUUAUAAGCCCUCUCAAUGGAGGAAGUAUUCCUUCAAAUAAAAUAAGGAUAAAAUUAGAAUAUAUAUACAUAUAAAAGACUGUAUCUUUUUUAUAUUUUAAUUUAGUAUGAAUAAUCCCUUUGGAAGAUUUAAUUAUUCAUUAAUUGUAUACUUUGGACUUCACAAACACGCACGCAUUAUUUUGGGCUUUAUAUAAUCGCCAUUUACUAUAAACACAUCUGCACAACUUACAAGGGCGCCCAGAACUUAAAAGGGUGCAAAUUCGUUUUCGCUAGUGACGUGGGACGCCUCCGAAAGAAGACGAGUAAAUUAAGAUUAUGAUAGCUUGUUUGAAUCCCAGAUAGUUCAUAUGUAGUGACCAUCAGAGCUCUGUCAUCCACAUGAAAUCUGCACUUUUUGUAAAUUUGUUACCCAAAUAAAAGCACAAACUAUGUAUGUGUGAUUUUUGGGUUUUGAAAAUAAUAUGAUUUGCUUUUAUUUGGGUAACACUGUCAGCCGAUGAGAGCAAGAAGUUAAUCACUUUGUUUGCAUUUAAGUGGAGGACCGCAUAUUGGAAUUGAGCGCGAGCGAGGCUGCAGAUGUAAGGACUGCUACUUAUGUCUUAUCGUGCGGACGUGGUGUCACGAUUCGGUAGCUAGUACUCGCUGUAUACAUGUGGAUACAUGCAUACCAGCUAUAAUAAACACAAUUUAUUUUUAUUUUUUGAAACUGAUUAAGCAUCAGGUUACUGCAUUACACAGAUAUAUAUACAACUGCUAUGACAGCAGGUCAUUAUACUGAUAUUUAUAAUCAGAUCAGAUAUAUAUACAUGGGACUUAUAUUAUUACAUUUUUAUUCUAUGAAGUAUAUGUCCAUCCCAAAUACCCCUCACGGAGGAGGGAUGUCUCUACUCCACUCGCAUUUCGCAAGGGAGAAAGACGUUUAUAAAAAUCUCCACACAAUUAUGUUUAAUUGGAGGAGGUUGAGUCCGUGGGGACUCGAACCAUUGCCCUCAUAGUCAUGCUUAACUUUGAGGGCAAUGGUCCACCACUGAGCUACAAGCCCAAGUGGCUAAUAAACACAAUUUAUUAAUUGAUGGUCGUGGGUAAUUCUACUCCAGUUGGGAAUUCAGCAACUACUUGAUUAAGACAGCUGGCCCCUUUUGCCAUUAAAAUUAAUGAUCGUCUUAAUUAAUUCUCUUUUGAAAUUGAAAGCAAAGCAAUGGAAUCGUUUUGAUUCACAUUCUAUGAAUCGAUGGUGGGCGGUGGCCACCACUUUUUACCUUACAACAUCUACUGCUAAUUAAUAGCCUAAUCAAGCUUGGGUGAUCUUAUCGAUCUAAACUGAUAAUUUUGAGUACGUGGGUGACAGCUGGAUCCAAUGAGCUCAAAAGCUGAGGCAACGCAGAGGAAUAGCGUGGGGGCCCGAUCCUUGAGACCGGGCCUUUGAGAAAUGAGAUUGAUGAAUGACACACAAUUGUUCCAAAAUAAUUCCCAUUCCAAAGGUUAAAAAGUGAGAACCCCAUUUGUACUGCUAUUUGCAUUUGGCAUUUUGGCUCAUAAUUUUGCAGUCAAGAGUUAAAAGGAGAAGCAUUUUCUUUAAUUAUUGCAAUCUUAUAAUACGAGGUACAUUGGAAAUCUUAAAUACAAUUUUUUUUUUUAAUUUUUAUAGUACAAUGUAAAGAUUAAUACUCCCACAGGUGGCAUACAGCUUCUUGUGAAAAAUCAAGAGAAAAAGAAUCUUAUAGGCUCAAAUUAGUGUCUUCAAUAUUGUUAUGAGAGUGCCAACUCAUCAUUGGAGUACAAUCCUAAUGACCGUUCAAUAACAUUAAAUUUAUAGAGGGUAAAACCUCGUUAGUU
rnacentral:lncRNA from 1 species